rnacentral:tRNA from 1 species
GCCCCGUUCGUCUAGCGGCCUAGGACACCAGCCUCUCACGCUGGCAGCACGGGUUCGAAUCCCGUACGGGGUGCCA